rnacentral:rRNA from 1 species
UAAUAUAUCGGAACGUAUCCAAUAAUGGGGGAUAACUAAUCGAAAGGUUAGCUAAUACCGCAUACGCCCUACGGGGGAAAGCAGGGGAUCUUCGGACCUUGCGUUAAUGGAGCGGCUGAUAUCUGAUUAGCUAGUAGGUGAGGUAAAGGCUCACCUAGGCUUCGAUCAGUAGCUGGUCUGAGAGGACGACCAGCCACACUGGAACUGAGACACGGUCCAGACUCCUACGGGAGGCAGCAGUGGGGAAUUUUGGACAAUGGGCGCAAGCCUGAUCCAGCCAUUCCGCGUGAGUGAAGAAGGCCUUCGGGUUGUAAAGCUCUUUCGCAAGGGAAGAAACGAUACCGACGAAUAAUCGGUGUUAAUGACGGUACCUUGAUAAGAAGCACCGGCUAACUACGUGCCAGCAGCCGCGGUAAUACGUAGGGUGCGAGCGUUAAUCGGAAUUACUGGGCGUAAAGCGUGCGCAGGCGGUUUUGUAAGUCAGAUGUGAAAUCCCCGGGCUCAACCUGGGAACUGCGUUUGAAACUACAAGGCUAGAGUAUGGUAGAGGGGGGUAGAAUUCCACGUGUAGCAGUGAAAUGCGUAGAGAUGUGGAGGAAUACCAAUGGCGAAGGCAGCCCCCUGGACUAAUACUGACGCUCAUGCACGAAAGCGUGGGGAGCAAACAGGAUUAGAUACCCUGGUAGUCCACGCCCUAAACGAUGUCUACUAGUUGUUGGGAGAGUAAAAUCUCUUAGUAACGCAGCUAACGCGUGAAGUAGACCGCCUGGGGAGUACGGUCGCAAGAUUAAAACUCAAAGGAAUUGACGGGGGCCCGCACAAGCGGUGGAUUAUGUGGAUUAAUUCGAUGCAACGCGAAAAACCUUACCUGGCCUU